CUUCCCUCUCCAUCCCAGAAGGACUCCCCCCUGCAGCUCUCCGUGCACAUGGCACAGGGGAGGAGGCAGUGCUGCUGGGCAGGCAGAAUGGCUGCAGACACUGCAGGCUCUGGCACCAGCCUAGCUGUAUUUGCUGGAAUGGUGACAUGACCAGCAAAUAUUACCAUUCCUGGGGGGAAUGGUGAUAUUUAUCCCCCUUCCUGGGGGGAAGGACUUCAUCUUGUGCAGCAGCAAAACAUCAGUCACUGUUCACUUCCACUGUGCUGCUGCUGCUGUGACUGUUACAUUGCUCUUUUGUAACUUGUAUUUUUUUUAAACCCCCACAAACAGAAAAAAAUAGCUGGAAAAAGAAGGCAAAUCUUAAUCAGACCUGUAUCGAUAUUGUCUUAAAUCCAUUAAUACACAAAGGCCUGCCUACAGAGAAGGAACAUGGCACAAUUACUGAUUUCAGAAAUUCCUGACAUCUGAAAAGUUAUAAGCAAUUAACUCAAAAAAGGGAAACCUUGUGAGGAUGCCAUGGAACCUAAAAUGGCAGGUUUUGCACAUAGAUGGUGGGGCUUUACCACAGGCUGGAGAGAACCAAUGGGCAGAUCUGCAGUGGUGUGGCAUCUAAUUUUAAUGAGAUGCUUGUUUAAAGAUGAGGCAGCAAAGCAUUAUUAUAGCCCUGGGCCAUGGUCCUGCUGCUGCUUGUCUUGCUGUGACUGAGGCCUGCUCUUGUGGCUUGUAUAUCAGCAAUCAACCCUUGUUUUUUUUCUUUAGCAGGAUGUAUGAAUAAAUUGCUCUAGCUGGGGGUGAAUACAAGACAGAACAGAAUGAUUCUUUUUCUCAUUGCCUGCUUCACUGUGUUUAGUGGGGGUGCUUAGCUAGGACACUGUGUAUUGGUAGUGAUUUCCCAAUUCCUUUCACUUAAUGACUGUAGCUGUGUUUUCUUUCAAAAUUAAGCACCUCUUGACAAGUUUAGAGAUGACAUUUGUAGAAGUAGAGCAUUGUGCUAGAAUAGCUUCUUUGGUUAAGUUCUGAGUCCUGCUGAGGUGCUUCAUGCCCUGGUAGCAGGACCACCACUUUGGAAUUAUCCCAGAAGUGUGACAGGCUUUCCUGCAGCUCUGCAGUUCUCACUGUUGACCCUUCAGGUGCACCCAGGCAUUACUGAUGAAUAAACAAACACAGGCAAUUUCUAUUACAGAGAUAAAGAUUUCCCUUAAAAGGGAUUAAAUCUGUAGGGAAAGGGAAUAGAGACUUCAUUUAGUCCAGGAAGAGCUGUGGUGGGGACUGUGUGUUGAACAAAACAGAGCUUUGUAAGAAUUUUCUGACUUUUUACCUUGUAUGUGGGCCUCCUCUCUUUUUAUUGCUCCUGUGGAUCAUGCUGUCUCACUCAUUGCAAAGCUGGCACUGCAGCUCUUCUGGAGUUGUUGGAGUAUAGCUGAUUGUGGUGUGCUGACACUUACUGAAGCUUGGAAAGCUCCCCAGAGCCACUGCAGCAGAGAAGGCCACUACCUGCAGAGGGUGUUCCUGAGUUCUGCCAAAGUCAAAUCCUGAAAUGCUUCUUGGUAGGAAUUUUCCACGGUUGUGGCAGUGUAGCCUCUGUGGAUCACAAGGGCCAGGCCAGGUCUCCCCACAGCUUUCCCUGUUGGCAGACAUGAAAAUCCAUCUCUCAGGUGACUGGAGGUGAACCUCUGGAAGGCGAGCGGUGGUCGCGGGGUGUGCGGGAGCGCUGCCACCGCUCGGAG